CCUACGGGAGGCAGCAGUGAGGAAUAUUGGUCAAUGGGCGGGAGCCUGAACCAGCCAAGCCGCGUGAGGGAAGAAGGUACAGCGUAUCGUAAACCUCUUUUGUCAGGGAACAAAGGCGGGGACUAGUCCGCGGAUGCGGGUACCGGAAGAAAAAGCAUCGGCUAACUCCGUGCCAGCAGCCGCGGUAAUACGGAGGAUGCGGGCGUUAUCCGGAUUUAUUGGGUUUAAAGGGGGCGCAGGCGGCCUGUUAAGUCAGCGGUAAAAGCCCGGGGCCCAACCCCGGCGAGCCGUUGAAACUGGCGGGCUUGAGUUGGAGAGAAGCACGCGGAAUGCGCGGUGUAGCGGUGAAAUGCUUAGAUAUCGCGCAGAACCCCGAUUGCGAAGGCAGCGUUCCGGCUCCACACUGACGCUGAGGCACGAAAGCGUGGGUAUCGAACAGGAUUAGAUACCCUUGUAGUC
rnacentral:rRNA from 1 species